AGCAUGGUGUCUGUUGCAGGUGGCCGGACUGUGCCAUGCUGCUCCAGACCCAAGGUGGCAGCUCUCACUGCGGGGACCCUGCUACUUCUGACAGCCAUCGGGGCGGCAUCCUGGGCCAUUGGUGAGAGCGGUUCCUGUGCCUCUGACCUCCCCUGGCCCCUGCAGCCUCCAGCCUGCCUGCCCUCACCCCUCCCUUCUCUGCAGUGGCUGUUCUCCUCAGGAGUGACCAGGAGCCGCUGUACCCAGUGCAGGUCAGCUCUGCGGACGCUCGGCUCAUGGUCUUUGACAAGACGGAAGGGACGUGGCGGCUGCUGUGCUCCUCGCGCUCCAACGCCAGGGUAGCCGGACUCAGCUGCGAGGAGAUGGGCUUCCUCAGGUACUGGGGGCCCUCGGAGGGGUGGGAGCCGGGAGGGGCUGGGGAGCAGGCCUAACCCCUGCCCCGCCCAGGGCACUGACCCACUCCGAGCUGGACGUGCGAACGGCGGGCGCCAAUGGCACGUCGGGCUUCUUCUGCGUGGACGAGGGGAGGCUGCCCCACACCCAGAGGCUGCUGGAGGUCAUCUCCGUGUGGUGAGGAGGGCAGCGGGCAGGUGGGGCAACACCCCAGACCCCCAAGGCACUCCCUCUCCCCGUUUUCCUUCCACCUGUCUUAACU
rnacentral:sRNA from 1 species